UGGGGAAUCUUUGGACAAUGGGGGCAACCCUGAUCCAGCCAUGCCGCGUGAGUGAUGAAGGCCUUAGGGUCGUAAAGCUCUUCGCCUGUGAAGAUAAUGACGGUAGCAGGUAAAGAAACCCCGGCUAACUCCGUGCCAGCAGCCGCGGUAAUACGGAGGGGGUUAGCGUUGUUCGGAAUUACUGGGCGUAAAGCGCACGUAGGCGGACCAGAAAGUUGGGGGUGAAAUCCCGGGGGCUCAACCCCGGAACUGCCUCCAAAACUAUUGGUCUAGAGUUCGAGAGAGGUGAGUGGAAUUCCAAGUGUAGAGGUGAAAUUCGUAGAUAUUUGGAGGAACACCAGUGGCGAAGGCGGCUCACUGGCUCGAUACUGACGCUGAGGUGCGAAAGUGUGGGGAGCAAACAGGAUUAGAUACCCUGGUAGUCCACACCGUAAAACGAUGAAUGCCAGUCGUCGGGUAGCAUGCUAUUCGGUGACACACCUAACGGAUUAAGCAUUCC
rnacentral:rRNA from 1 species